GGGAGGGGAGGGGGGCAGCUGUGGGGCUCGGCCCCAACCCUGGCCCCACCCCGGCCUGGCGCUGUCUGAGAGGAGGGGAUCUGAGGGAGACCCAGGGAUCAGGCAGGGUAGGGAUGGACAGGACAUGAGGCUGGGAUGCAGAUGUGAGGAGGAAGAGGCUACCAGAGGGAAUGGGGAGAGAGGAGGAGAGUAAAGACAGGGAAAGGAGCAAUUAGGGACCAGCUGGGGAGCUCAGAUGGAGCAGGUCGGGAGGUGGAACAAUGGCAGAGUAAGGAUGGAAGGGGCAGUGUCUGGAGAGGCGGACAUGAGAAAGGCUGGGGGCAAAGAGGGUGGCAGCUCUGGUGCAGUGUCCAGAGCCAGGAGCCAGGUGAAGAGGCGGUGCGGGCGGUGGCCGGCGCGCUCCGGCCGCGGUCGCUCGGUCCUCGGCUCGCCGCCCCCGCACAGCAGAGCUGCCGCCGACCAGCCGCUGCCGCCCCCGGGCAGGGAACCCGCUUAUAAAGGCGGCGCUGCCCGACGGGAGGGGCUUCCCAGGGGUGGGGCUGGCGGGAGCGGGGAGGAGAGGAGAGGGGAGGGGGAUGAAAGCGGAGGUUGGCGAGGUGGGGAUAGGAGGAUGAAAGCGAGGGGAGGGAGCGCGCGAGAGGCGGGAGGGAGGACAGGACCAGGAGGGGGAGAUGGAGAGACUGACGGUCGCGGAGAAAGGAGUGGGGCGAGGAGGUGGGAAGGGGUGGGGUUCCUGCGGGGAGGGACCUCUCCGAAUCCCGACCUACCGCCUGCCAAAGUGGAGUCUGUCUUUUGGGGGCGGACUGGAGGGAUGGCCAGAAUCCUACUGACCCUACCCCCCCCCACACACCCCCAAGAAACCCUGAGAUUUCGCCAAGGGAUGGGGUGGGAGAAGCAGAUGGAAAGACCGGGCAGGUAUCUGAGAAACCAAAAGCUUAAAGAAGAGGAAGAGGGUGGCGGAGCUUCUUCCACAUCACGCUGGCUUUCCCCUCCCGUCUUGCAUCUCCUUUCUCUCGGUGGCCCUGAGAGGGGAUGGGAGGGCCAAGCGGGCAGCCCACCCUCGGUCCUGCCCGAGGCUGACUUUGGUGAACCCUGCUGGGUUCCUCCCUUCCUGGAUCUUUCGGAGAGAUCUGGAGAAGUCAGAGGCCCUUCGGGCUCUUUCCUUCUUCCUCCAUCCUGGACCGCUCUUAUUCGCCCAUCUCAUCUCACUCAUCUUUGCCUGGUCUUUCUUUUUCUCCUCAUACCUGCUCAUUCAUCUGUACCCAGACCCCUCUGUCACAACCAUUUGUCCCUUACAUCUCUUGUUCAUCUGCUGUCUCUUCUCCCUUCCAUCUCUGACCUUGUUCUCCCUUCUCCCAUACCAACUUCCUCUGUCCUCUGA
rnacentral:lncRNA from 12 species